CAGUGUGUGCAGACUGCCUAGGGAGAAACUGCAGAACCGCUGUGGGAGAAAUACGCUUCUUUAUACAAGGGAAGAAUACUAGAAUAUAUCAAAUGAAGCAACGCACCAUUGUUUCACCAUAAGUAACGUUUUUCUGCCGGAUCCGGCGGUUCCAGUAACGGAGCGAAUACUGCGAUGCAUUACCACUGGGCAAAUCUAAACACGCACCAUGUCAUCAAUAGAAGAGGUCUGUGCAGCUCAUUACAUUGCAGGGAAUCCUCGGCUUUCACCAUCUGGAGGACGUAGUAAUACGCAGGUGGCGUUCCACCACACUUUAUAUGUAUGAGUGACCUGAGGACCAGCAGCAAGACACCAAGAGGGGGAAGUGAGAAACGUGGUGCACCCUGGGGUCCUCCAGAUGCCCUACGUUUAGCACAGCCAGGAAUAUUGUGAGCCGCAAGACGCUGGAGCUAUAUAGGCAAGACUGAAUCGAAAUUCAAGGAACGAAUGGGGAAUCACAGAACAGCAAUCCGGGCAGCAACAGCCAGUAGCGCGUCACUUUGCUGAAAAACACCAUUCGUUGACAAGCCUGAGAUAUCGAAUGAUUGAUACGGUUUUACCUUGUACAUGGGGAGGUAACAGACCAUUAAAGCUUUUACGUCUAGAGGCGAGAUGGAUACACCGCCUAAAUGUCAUGUCUCCUAAAGGGUUAAACGAAUGUAUCACAUAUUCGAGUUUACGGUAAAAAUCGGGAGCUUAUGUUUUAUAUAUGUUUAGUAAUGUGUAGCUCGAAUGUGAUUCAUGCCUGAUUAACAAUAAUACCGCAAAGGGUUAAUUCCAUUUGGGUGUAUGGUAUACAUAAUUGGGUUGUGGUGUUUCAGUCUCAAUUGCAGGUAUAGUGUAAUAUAUCAUUCAGUAAUUAUCUCUCUUUAACAUCUAAAGUCAUAUGAUUAAUGUAUCAGAAUGGUAGAGACGAUUGUAGCAGAUUGCUGAAUACAAAUGUUACGUUUUAACACAUUUUGCUUCUGAUGAUAAGUUUUGUCUUCCACUGCUAAACUUGCCAUUGUUCGUAAAUGACUGCUGCUUUCAUUCAGUAUAAGUGAAGUUUUAGUAUAUUGUAUUUGUUUUAUGUGGUCGGUGUAGUGGUUUUCUAAUUUUUAUCUAUGUAUGAACACUGUUUCUGGUUGCUAUAGCAAUCACAUUCACACUGACGUCAUAUGAGACCUUUGGUGGUCCAUUGUUAAUGACGUCAGAAUGACUCACACACCGGCGGCGUGGGUGAUUUUCCCGUCUGACUGGUCCCUGAGCCCUGCACAGUAUGUAUAUAUUAAGGUACUUGUGUGUAUUUGUAUCAUUUCCUGAUGACAAUUUGACAAAUAAAUUGAAACGUUGAAGAAUUGAGGACAGUAGUCCAUUA